UACGUAGGUGGCAAGCGUUGUCCGGAUUUAUUGGGUUUAAAGGGUGCGUAGGUGGGUCUGUAAGUCAGUGGUGAAAUCUCCAAGCUUAACUUGGAAACUGCCGUUGAUACUAUAGACCUUGAAUGCUGUGGAGGUGAGCGGAAUAUGUCAUGUAGCGGUGAAAUGCUUAGAUAUGACAUAGAACACCAAUUGCGAAGGCAGCUCACUACCCAGAUAUUGACACUGAGGCACGAAAGCGUGGGGAUCAAACAGG
rnacentral:rRNA from 1 species